CCUUUUUGUUUCAUUUCAUUUUUUGUAUUGUCCCCUACAAGAAUAUAUAUGGUUAAGGGGUGGGGAUCUGGACUGUUUACAAGAUAAUAGCACAUUUUCAAAUUGAACGGGGUGGGGAGGACCCCCAGGGACUUCCCUUUAAUUUCAUUUGAUUUGUUUUAUCGUCUCAUUCAAGAAUAUAUGAGGUUUAGGGGUGGGGAUCUGGACCGUUUACAAGUUUUCAAACUAGAGGGGGUCGGGUGACCCCCUAGGGACUUCCCUUUUGUUUCAUUUCAUUUUUUGUAUUGUCCCCUACAAGAAUAUAUAUGGUUAAGGGGUGGGGAUCUGGACCGUUUACAAGAUAAUAGCACAUUUUCAAAUUGAACGGGGUGGGGAGGACCCCCAGGGACUUCCCUUUAAUUUCAUUUGAUUUGUUUUAUUGUCCCAUUCAAGAAUAUAUGAGGUUUAGGGGUGGGGAUCUGGACAGUUUACAAGAUAAAAGCAUAUUCUCAAAUUAAAGGGGUCGGGGAUGACCCCCCAGGGACUCCCCCUAUAUUUCAUGUGAUUUGUUUUAUUGUCCUUUAAUCAUUUCUGAAGACUACAUGUAUCUAUCACUUAUAGUUUUCAAGUUAUAUUCAUUUGAAAAUUUUAGAAAAAAAAAUCCCAUAGGGUUCUAUAGUAAACCCCUCCCUUCUUUCUGCCCCCCAAAAUACCCCUUAAUAGACCCCAAUCCACAAACGAAAGAUCGAUGGCUCACCUAGACAUAUUAGUCUAACAUUCUAUGAAACCCUAAGUUAAUCUGACCAAGGGUUAUGGAGAAACGCUGCGGACAAGUUCAUUUUUAAUGUGGCGGAAUGUUAUAUAUACAUAUUUCGUUAUAAAUAAUGGUUGCUAGUUCACAGUCUGGUAUCUGUAUCACUCCGGAAUCGGAAAGGGUUAUUCCGUAUCCGGACUGAUAUUAGCUCUCUCUUUUUCUUGUUACUGCGGGUGGCAGACGGAAUUUUAUUAUUGAGAGUAAAAUAUAUAACAACUAAUCUAUUUUGUACGUAUUCGAUUGUGUCCUUUAUAUACAAAGUCCCC
rnacentral:lncRNA from 1 species